AUUGAACGAUGGCGGCAGGCCUAACACAUGCAAGUCGAACGAGUGGCGGACGGGUGAGUAAUGUCUGGGAAACUGCCCGAUGGAGGGGGAUAACUACUGGAAACGGUAGCUAAUACCGCAUACCAUCGGAUGUGCCCAGAUGGGAUUAGCUUGUAGGUGAGGUAACGGCUCACCUAGGCGACGAUCCCUAGCUGGUCUGAGAGGAUGACCAGCCACACGGGAACGUAGGCACGGUGCAGACUCCUACGGGAGGCAGCAGUGGGUAAUAUGGCACAAUGGGCGCAAGCCUGAUGCAGCCAUGCCGAGUGUAUGAAGAAGGCCUUCGGGUUGUAAAGUACUUUCAGCGGGGAGGCGUUACCCGCAGCAGAAGCCCCGGCUAACUCCGUGCCAGCCGCCUCGGUAAUAC
rnacentral:rRNA from 1 species